rnacentral:rRNA from 1 species
GGGGUCGCGUCCUAUCAGCUUGUAGGCGGGGUAAUGGCCCACCUAGGCUUCGACGGGUAGCCGGCCUGAGAGGGCGGACGGCCACAUUGGGACUGAGAUACGGCCCAGACUCCUACGGGAGGCAGCAGUGGGGAAUAUUGCGCAAUGGGGGAAACCCUGACGCAGCGACGCCGCGUGCGGGAUGAAGGCCUUCGGGUUGUAAACCGCUUUUGAUUGGGAGCAAGCCUUUUGGGUUGAGUGUACCUUUCGAAUAAGCGCCGGCUAACUACGUGCCAGCAGCCGCGGUAAAU